rnacentral:miRNA from 11 species
AGGAUACAUUCAGUAUACGUUCA